UACGUAGGGUGCAAGCGUUGUCCGGAAUUAUUGGGCGUAAAGAGCUCGUAGGCGGCCUGUCGCGUCGGAUGUGAAAAUCCAAGGCUCAACCUUGGACCUGCAUUCGAUACGGGCAGGCUAGAGUUCGGUAGGGGAGACUGGAAUUCCUGGUGUAGCGGUGAAAUGCGCAGAUAUCAGGAGGAACACCGGUGGCGAAGGCGGGUCUCUGGGCCGAUACUGACGCUGAUGCGCGAAAGCCAGGGGAGCGAACGGG
rnacentral:rRNA from 1 species